GAUGAACGCUGGCGGCGUGCUUAACACAUGCAAGUCGAACGGGAAACCUUUUAUUGAAGCUUCGGCAGAUUUAGCUGGUUUCUAGUGGCGGACGGGUGAGUAACGCGUGGGUAACCUGCCUUAUACAGGGGGAUAACAGUCAGAAAUGGCUGCUAAUACCGCAUAAGCGCACAGAGCUGCAUGGCUCAGUGUGAAAAACUCCGGUGGUAUAAGAUGGACCCGCGUUGGAUUAGCUGGUUGGUGGGGUAACGGCCCACCAAGGCGACGAUCCAUAGCCGGCCUGAGAGGUUGAACGGCCACAUUGGGACUGAGACACGGCCCAGACCCCUACGGGAGGCAGCAGUGGGGAAUAUUGCACAAUGGGGGAAACCCUGAUGCAGCGACGCCGCGUGAAGGAAGAAGUAUCUCGGUAUGUAAACUUCUAUCAGCAGGGAAGAUAAUGACGGUACCUGACGAAGAAGCCCCGGCUAACUACGUG
rnacentral:rRNA from 1 species